UACAGAGGGUGCAAGCGUCAAUCGGAGUUACUGGGCGUAAAGGGCGCGUAGGCGGUAGUAUGAGUGUGAUGUGAAAGCCCCGGGCUUAACCUGGGAAGUGCAUCGCAAACGAUAUUACUGGAGUACUAGAGAGGGUGGCGGAAUUUCCGGUGUAGCGGUGAAAUGCGUAGAGAUCGGAAGGAACGUCGAUGGCGAAGGCAGCCACCUGGCUAGAUACUGACGCUGAGGCGCGAAAGCGUGGGUAGCGAACAGG
rnacentral:rRNA from 1 species